GUAGUACUCCCUCCGUCCGGAAAUACUUGUCGUCAAAAUGAAUAAAAGGGGAUGUAUCUAGAUGUAUAUUAGUUCUAGAUACAUCUUUUUCAUCCAUUUUGAUGACAAGUAUUUUUGGACGGAGGGAGUACUUG
rnacentral:pre_miRNA from 1 species